UCUCAUGGAGGAGGUAUUCCCUCAACUGA
rnacentral:piRNA from 1 species